ACCUGAUGAUGUGAGCAUUUAUGAAGUAGUUCCUUGAAAUGCUCCCAGGUCUCAAAGAAAAGUUCCCCAUCCGUUUGUGUGAAAAUUGUGAUUGCCCUUCGCAGUU